ACAUGAGAUUUUUUUUAUUGUAAUCCUCCUUACCCUUUUCUCUCCUUACCCUCCCAUUAGUUACCCUUCCCUCACCCCAUCUAAACAGAGCCUAAAGAGUAAUGGAGAUGUUCUAAUCUGUUAUGUCAAAUACUUCUUAUUAAUACUGAAAAAAUCUCAAUUAAUGCUAAUACUGCAAAAAUCUUCUUUAAGAUAUACACGGUAAUUAACUUUUCCCAUUUUGUACCUUGAUGA
rnacentral:misc_RNA from 1 species